rnacentral:rRNA from 1 species
UACGUAGGGGGCAAGCGUUGUCCGGAUUUAUUGGGCGUAAAGAGCGUGUAGGCGGCCAAGCAGGUCAGCUGUGAAAACUCGAGGCUCAACCUCGAGACGUCGGUUGAAACCGCUUGGCUAGAGUCCGGAAGAGGAGAGUGGAAUUCCCGGUGUAGCGGUGAAAUGCGCAGAUAUCGGGGAAGAACACCCGUGGCGAAGGCGGCUCUCUGGGACGGUACUGACGCUGA